AAAACAUGUUCUUUUGUUUAUAUAAAAGAUUUGGCCUGCUCAAUGAUAAUAUUAAAUAGCUGCAGUAUUUUGACUGUACAAAGGUAGCAUAAUCAUUUGUCUUUUAAUUGAGGACUAGUAUGAAAGGUUGGAUGAAAAAUAUACUUUCUUUAUAUUAAAAUAUAACUUAAUUUUUAAGUUAAAAAGCUUAAAUAAUAUUAUAAGACGAGAAGACCCUAUAGAACUUUAUAUAAAAUUGUAUAUAUUUAUUUUGUUUAUUAAAUUAUAUAUAUAAUUAUAUAUUUUGUUGGGGUGACAAAUAAAAUAUUAACUUUAUUUAUUAUUUUCAUUUUUUUAUGAAAUUUUGAUCCAUUUGUUUAUGAUUAUAAGAUUAAGUUACCUUAGGGAUAACAGCGUUAUUAUUUUGGAGAGUUCUUAUCGAUAAAAUAGUUUGCGACCUCGAUGUUGGAUUAAAAUAAUUGGUAGGUGUAGAUUUUUAUCAUAUAGGUCUGUUCGACCUUUAAAAUUUUACA
rnacentral:rRNA from 1 species